UACGGAGGGGGCUAGCGUUGUUCGGAAUUACUGGGCGUAAAGCGCGCGUAGGCGGACCUGCAAGUCGGGGGUGAAAGCCCGAGGCUCAACCUCGGAACUGCCUUCGAUACUGCGGGUCUCGAGUCCGGGAGAGGUGAGUGGAAUUCCUGGUGUAGCGGUGAAAUGCGCAGAUAUCAGGAGGAACACCAAUUGCGAAGGCAGCUCGCUGGGACGUUACUGACGCUGAGACGCGAAAGCGUGGGGAGCGAACAGG
rnacentral:rRNA from 1 species